GGGUCAGUAGGUUGGUCGUGCCACCGGUACGUACUGGUCUCACUGACUCCUCCUUCCUGAAGAACCGUAAUGCCAUUAAUUUGGUGUUGCGGGGAAACAGGACUGUUACUUUGAAAAAAUUAGAGUGUUUAAAGCAAGCUAACGCUUGAAUACAUUAGCAUGGAAUAAUGAAAUAGGACGAUCGAUCCUAUUUUGUCGGUUUCUAGGAUUGACGUA
rnacentral:rRNA from 1 species